rnacentral:rRNA from 1 species
CGCGGCCUAUCAGCUUGUUGGUGAGGUAACGGCUCACCAAGGCAAUGACGGGUAGCUGGUCUGAGAGGACGAUCAGCCACACUGGAACUGAGAUACGGUCCAGACUCCUACGGGAGGCAGCAGGAGGGAAUCUUGCGCAAUGGGCGAAAGCCUGACGCAGCGACGCCGCGUGGGGGAUGAAUGCCUUAGGGUUGUAAACCCCUUUCACGAGGGAAGAAACUGACGGUACCUCGAGAAGAAGCCCCGGCCAACUACGUGCCAGCAGCCGCGGUAAUACGUAGGGGGCGAGCGUUGUCCGGAUUUAUUGGGCGUAAAGGGCCCGUAGGCGGCUUGGCAAGUCGGCCGUGAAAACCCAGGGCUCAACUCUGGGACGCCGGUCGAUACUGCCAUGGCUAGGGUCCGGUAGAGGGGAAUGGAAUUCCCGGUGUAGCGGUGAAAUGCGCAGAUAUCGGGAGGAACACCAGUAGCGAAGGCGGUUCCCUGGGCCGGCACCGACGCUGAGGAGCGAAAGCGUGGGGAGCAAACAGGAUUAGAUACCCUGGUAGUCCACGCCGUAAACGUUGGGUACUAGGCGUGGCGUCUUAUCAACGGAUGCCGUGUUCGAAGCUAACGCGUUAAGUACCCCGCCUGGGGAGUACGG